rnacentral:rRNA from 1 species
CUUGAGGUGGCCGCCUGGGACUCCCUCCUCCAAGACAUCACCCUUAUGCCGAUGAAUGUUGAGGAGGAUCAGGAUGCUGUCUCCUGGCACCUUGAGCCCUCUGGCCGUUUCUCCACAAAGCCCCUGUAUGGUGCAAUUGCGCCAUCUACGAACCCCGAACCCUUUAGCCUGAUCUGGGACAUCCGCCUACCUCUGAAGAUCCGGAUUUUCCUGUGGCAAUGGAUCCGUGGAUGCCUCCCUUAUGGGGUUGAAGUCCUCAAGCGUAAUGGCCCGGGCGAUGGGAUGUGCCCCCUCUGUGGCACGGUAGAGGAUGCUAACCACAUCUUUUUUCCGUGCCACUCGGCCCAGUUCCUUCGGGCCUGCUUUCGCGAAACAGUUGGCGGACAGUGGUGUAAUACCAACUUCCCCGACCUGCUGGCGGAGCUCAACGCAUCCCCCCUCUCGCUACCGUCAUAUUAA